CAGCAGCCCACAAAUCUGAACACUAACCAGCCCUGUAACUGGUCCCCACCUCCCACACACUUUUCAUCACCCACUUGCACACAACAUCUGGGGCCUCUAUUUCCACCCUACUAUCCUGUGAGCUCACUGCCCAGAUUCCGUGUCCAACGAUACUCAGAGAGCCGGUAUCCUCAGGAGGAUGCACUAUGGGGAAUCCAGGAAUACCUGCUAGAGACCAGGCAUGCAGGAAACCUGGACAUUUCUGUGGCAAAGAACCCAAGAGAUGCUGACACCAACUUUCUUCUUGACAGAGAGGGAAGCACACAGCUCUGGGGGCCUUCUAGAGUCACGGCCCUCGCUCACCAGGAGAUUAACCCGUCAGGCUGUCGAGUGAGAAGGGACGGAGCAGACCCUGACAGGAGGCCCGCAAUGCAGGGGAAAUCAAAACAAAUCCACCUGCUCAGGGAAGACUUUUUCGACACCUCGUCCCCCUACGGACAUCUGUGGCAAGUGUCAUCGCGACCACUGGUGUGGCACUGGAUCAUUUAUGACUGCCUCAUGACAUUAUUUUUCACUGUUGUCUUUGUAUUGUUGUUUGACGACUUUGUGUAAUGGUCUCUUCUCACUCCGCAAAUAAACUGCAGCACCUGGCA